UACGUAGGGACCAAGCGUUGUUCGGAUUUACUGGGCGUAAAGGGCGCGUAGGCGGCAAUUCAAGUCAUCUGUGAAAUCUCCGGGCUUAACUCGGAACGGCCAAUCGAUACUGACGUGCUAGAGUGCAGAAAGGGCAAUCGGAAUUCUUGGUGUAGCGGUGAAAUGCGUAGAUAUCAAGAGGAACACCUGAGGCGAAGGCGGGUUGCUAGGCUGACACUGACGCUGAGUGCGCGAAAGCCAGGGGAGCAAACGGG
rnacentral:rRNA from 1 species